rnacentral:tRNA from 1 species
UAGCUUAGUGAUUAAGGCUAUGGAUCGCCAAUCCGAAGACGGCGGGUUCGAUUCCCGU